rnacentral:rRNA from 1 species
UACGGGGGAGCAAGCGUUGUUCGGAUUUACUGGCGUAAAGGGCGCGUAGGCGGUCAGCACAAGUCAGUUGUGAAAUCUCCGGGCUUAACUCGGAAAGGUCAACUGAUACUGUGCGACUAGAGUGCAGAAGGGGCAACUGGAAUUCUCGGUGUAGCGGAUGAAAUGCGUAGAUAUCGAGAGGAACACCUGCGGCGAAGGCGGUGCUGGCUGACACUGACGCUGAUGCGACGAAGCCAGGGAGGCGAACGGG